CAUUCACGGAGAGUUUGAUCCUGGCUCAGGACGAACGCUGGCGGCGUGCUUAACACAUGCAAGUCGAACGAUGAACCACUUCGGUGGGGAUUAGUGGCGAACGGGUG
rnacentral:rRNA from 1 species